AGUGAACGCUGGCGGUAGGCCUAACACAUGCAAGUCGAACGGCAGCACAGUAAGAGCUUGCUCUUACGGGUGGCGAGUGGCGGACGGGUGAGGAAUACAUCGGAAUCUACUUUUUCGUGGGGGAUAACGUAGGGAAACUUACGCUAAUACCGCAUACGACCUACGGGUGAAAGCAGGGGAUCUUCGGACCCUGCGCGAUUGAAUGAGCCGAUGUCGGAUUAGCUAGUUGGCGGGGUAAAGGCCCACCAAGGCGACGAUCCGUAGCUGGUCUGAGAGGAUGAUCAGCCACACUGGAACUGAGACACGGUCCAGACUCCUACGGGAGGCAGCAGUGGGGAAUAUUGGACAAUGGGCGCAAGCCUGAUCCAGCCAUACCGCGUUGGUGAAGAAGGCCUUCGGGUUGUAAAGCCCUUUUGUUGGGAAAGAAAAGCAGCAGGUUAAUACCCCGCUGUUCUGACGGUACCCAAAGAAUAAGCACCGGCUAACUUCGUG
rnacentral:rRNA from 1 species